rnacentral:lncRNA from 1 species
CGUGGAAAGAAAGCAGAAUUGCACAGUUUAGGAGCUACUCUAAAAACCCAGGAAACUAUCUGACAGCCUUAUGCAUGUUUCAAAAUAGCAGGUAAACUACUCAAAUCCUGAGACGUUGUAUAGAAUAAGCAACAUUCCUCCAUUCAAUUGUUGAAUAAACGAAUCUUAAAAUAAAUAAUGACAUCUGUUUCCACCUACUGCAGUGUUGUUUGGAUAUUUCACGGACUUGUUUGUUCAUAUAGAAUGUAAUUUGAAAGGCUGAUAUUUUAUUAUGAACAUAUUUAGGUUGGGAUUUAGCAGGGUCUGCAUUUUAUGAAAGGUCUAACUUGGGGUCAAGUAUUCCCUAUCCCAAAAGUGGAACUUACCAGAAUUAUCAGGGCAUACAGCUUCUCGCUUGGUGCUACUGGAAAUGCUCUUGGAUUUGUUAACGGAUUCUGCAAGGCGAUUUAGGUCAGGUUUUGGAAUCCUUGCAAAGUAAUCAGAUUUUAACUUUGACUUCCGCUAGUCUGACAAAGUACAGGAAGCCUGUUCCCUCCCACUGUGGCCUGCUCUUACCAGCUGUUUAGAAUGCGUUCUGCAGACUUCACCGGGGCUCAUGAGAUAUGCAGCUUUCAACACAGAAAGGCUGUACAGGAAGCAUGGCUGGGAAGUGAGGCCUUAGGAAACUUACAACUAGAGGGAAGGCAAAGGGGAAGCAGACACAUCCUACAUGGCUGGAGCAGGAGGAAGAGAAGGAAGAGAUCUCAUAAGAACUCACUCAGUAUCAUGAGAACAUCAGGUAAGUCUGCCCCCAUGAUCCAAUCACCUCCCACCAGACCCGUUCUCCAACAUAGGGGAUUACCAUUUGACAUGUGA